rnacentral:rRNA from 1 species
CAUCUUUUCUCGUUAGUUUUUGAAGUAUGGCCUGCCCGCUGACUUUAGUGUUGAAGGGCCGCGGUAUUUUGACCGUGCAAAGGUAGCAUAGUCAUUAGUUCUUUAAUUGUGAUCUGGUAUGAAUGGCUUGACGAGGCAUGGGCUGUCUUAAUUUUUAAUUGUUUAUUGAAUUUGGUCUUUGAGUUAAAAUUCUUAGAUGUUUUUAUGGGACGAGAAGACCCUAUAGAGUUUAACAUUUGUUAUGGUCCCUUUCUGUUUGUGAGGGUUCAUUGGGCCGUUUAAUAUGUUUUGUUGGGGUGAUGGGAGGGAUUAUUUAACCCCUCCUUUUAUUAUUAUAUUUAUUUAUAUUUACUUGAUCCAUUUAUUUUGAUUGUAAGAUUAAAUUACC